rnacentral:lncRNA from 10 species
UGACCUCCAGAUCCCUGGUGUCUGCAGAGGGAGGGAGCUGCAGGCUGAAGUGCAGUCAUGUGAUCUCGACUCACUGUUACCUCCGCCUCCCAGGUUCAAGAGAUUCUCCCGCUUCAGCUUCCUGAGUAGCUGGGACUACAGGCACGCACCACCAUGCCUGGCUAUCACCUGGUUGUUUGAUGAUCAAAGUAACGUGCGUGCAGCCUUGGGACAGUGUCUGCCAUAGGAUUAUUACUGCAGUGACCCAUCUGUUCAAGGCUGGGACGCCCUGGAGCAUCCCCAACAGAGGAAGUUUUGGUUUUGGUUUUAUUUUGAUUUUUGAGACAGGGUUUUGCUCUGUCGCCCAGGCUAGAGUGCCGUGGCACAAACAUAGCUCACUGCAGUCUCGACCUCCUGGGCUCAAGAUCCUCCCACCUCAGCCUCCCAAAGUGCUGGAAUUACAGAUGAAAGCCACUGUGCGUGGCUCAGAGGAGGUCUUUUCCCCUUUCCCAAGUCUCCACUGCCACGGACAUGCCCUUGGCCUGCAGCCAGUCCCUCGUCCCUCACCCCAGUCAUGGGGUGAGUCAUUAAAGCUCUC